AGUUGGAAACGACUGUUAAUACCGCAUAUAUCUGUGGAUUAAAGGUGGCCUUUGUGCUGUCGCAGAUGGAUGAGCCUGCGUUGGAUUAGCUGGUUGGUAGGGUAAGGGCCUACCAAGGCUACGAUCCAUAGCUGAUUUGAGAGGAUGAUCAGCCACAUUGGGACUGAGACACGGCCCAAACUCCUACGGGAGGCAGCAGUGGGGAAUAUUGGACAAUGGGGGCAACCCUGAUCCAGCAAUGCCAUGUGUGUGAAGAAGGCUCUAGAGUUGUAAAGCACUUUAGUUGGGGAGGAAAGCCUAUGGGUUAAUAGCCUAUGGGGAGGACGUUACCCAAAGAAUAAGCACCGGCUAACUCCGUGCCAGCAGCCGCGGUAAUACGGGGGGUGCAAGCGUUAAUCGGAAUUACUGGGCGUAAAGGGUCUGUAGGUGGUUUGUUAAGUCAGAUGUGAAAGCCCAGGGCUCAACCUUGGAACUGCAUUUGAUACUGGCAAACUAGAGUAUGGUAGAGGAAUGGGGAAUUUCUGGUGUAGCGGUGAAAUGCGUAGAGAUCAGAAGGAACACUGAUGGCGAAGGCAACAUUCUGGACUGAUACUGACACUGAGGGACGAAAGCGUGGGGAUCAAACAGGAUUAGAUACCCUGGUAGUCCACGCUGUAAACGAUGAGUACUAGCUGUUGGAGUCGGUGUAAAGGCUCUAGUGGCGCAGCUAACGCGAUAAGUACUCCGCCUGGGGACUACGGCCGCAAGGCUAAAACUCAAAGGAAUUGACGGGGACCCGCACAAGCGGUGGAGCAUGUGGUUUAAUUCGAUGCAACGCGAAGAACCUUACCUGGUCUUGACAUCCUGCGAACUUUCUAGAGAUAGAUUGGUGCCUUCGGGAACGCAGUGACAGGUGCUGCACGGCUGUCGUCAGCUCGUGUUGUGAAAUGUUGGGUUAAGUCCCGCAACGAGCGCAACCCCUAUUGAUAGUUACCAUCAUUAAGUUGGGUACUCUAUUGAGACUGCCGCUGACAAGGCGGAGGAAGGUGGGGACGACGUCAAGUCAUCAUGGCCCUUACGACCAGGGCUACACACGUGCUACAAUGGGUAUUACAGAGGGCUGCGAAGGAGCGAUCUGAAGCGAA
rnacentral:rRNA from 1 species